UACGUAGGAUGCAAGCGUUGUUCGGAAUUACUGGGCGUAAAGAGUACGUAGGCGGUUUGGUAGGUCCGCUGUGAAAACUCGAGGCUCAACCUCGAGACGCCGGUGGAAACCAUCAGACUAGAGUCCGGAAGAGGAGAGUGGAAUUCCUGGUGUAGCGGUGAAAUGCGCAGAUAUCAGGAAGAACACCCGUGGCUAAGGCGGCUCUCUAGUACGGUACUGACGCUGAGACGCGAAAGCGUGGGGAGCGAACAGG
rnacentral:rRNA from 1 species